GCUGGAUAAAGUAUCAGAUAAGACUAAUAGUACAAAGCUAAUUGUUUGGUGCAUUUUUGUAUUGAAUAGCCGACUGACUUAUUAUCUAGACUCACUUAUUUUAUCCGGUCUACACCUGCUAACUAAUACACGCCAAAAUGAAGGAUAAUUAGUCGGCUUCAUCUCUCUCUUCGUUCCUCAUUCUUCUUCCUCCAACCAAGGUAUUUCCUUCUACCCAACCAACCAUGGCAGCAAUCGGAGUGAUUCUUGAAGUCAUUCCAAAGCCAAUCGUCGCAGACCCUAGUCUCCUAUCUCUCUAUAUUUUUCAUUCAAAUCUUGGCGAGCCAAGAUUAUCCAGAAUGUUUGGGGAGACUUCAAAGAGAUUACCCAGUGCAGAGCAAUCCUUCUCCUUUUCCUUCCAUAUUCUCACCUUUCAUCUAUGCUUUUUUUCUAAUUUUCUACAACAGAAUAAAAACCAUAAGCAAAAAAGAAAGCCAUGCCUUGCCUGCGCAAUAUAUUUUUUUUAUUUUAGUUCAAAUUUUUUUGAAAGCCUUGUUUAAUUGCAUAAUACCCAUUUUCAAUUAGUGGGCAAGAGGGUAAGAUUUGUAUGGGAGGAUGGGAUUUGAUGCGUAGUGAGGAAGAUGGUGAAGAAAGGGAGUAGAGAAAUCUGGGUUCUUUUUCCUUUUCUUUUUCCCUUUUUUUUUAAUUAUUUUAUUAUUUUUUAAUUUUUAAUUUUUAAUUUUGUCUUUUUAUUUCGUUUUUCCUAAAUUUUUUUUUUUCAAUUAUUAAGUUAAAAUUAUUAUAAUCUAACAUACUAUCCGAUAUACAAAUUAAUGUGACACUUAUUAGUCAAUAAUAUCUGAUGCACAUAUUAGUCAGUCCAACUAAAAUAGUUAAUACAGUUCAACGUACCAAACGAUGCCUAAAACAUGGUGGUGGUGGUUUCAACUGUCAAUUCAUACAUUUCCAAUCAGUUAAGUUUAUCAGUUUAUGUUUACUGUUUUUUAAUUUAUAAGCAUUUAGCUAAUCUUCAUUGCAACUGAAAUAUUCUCUUUCUCAUUACAGUUUCACGAUAGAGUUUUUCUUUAAAUUAAAAGAUGGCAAAGAGGUAAAUCUGGCUGAUCAUGAUGAGGUUUUGACGAGGCAUUUACUUUGGGUUGAUCAUACCUUUAUGUGCAUUAAUUAAUGAUCAUCAUAAAGAUGUGAAGCACUAAUAUCUUGCAUUAACUCACUUUUUUAUCCUUAGUCCACUAGAUUACCUACCAUAGCAAAGGUUUUUGUGAGAUUUUUCUUUUGAUAUGUGCCCUCCUACCACGAGACUCAUGUUGGAAACGAUUUGUACAUAUCGAGAACUUACGACAACAACCUCCAUCUCCUAAUCAUGAAGACCUGAUGCGACUACUUUUUAAGUCGUACACUAAAGAAUAUUGUAAUUAAUGUGUUUAUUUAGGAAUGUGAUUGUGUAACCUUAAACAAGAAUCCCAAUGGGAUUUGGAGAUCGAAUCCUCAUAGCUAGGCCUAGUGUUACUUAUUAGGCAAAAAUAUCUGUCAUCUAUAUAUAUAUAUAUAUAUAUAUAUAUAAAGUGAGAGGUCUAGUUUGGUGAAGCCUUCCAAAAUGCCAAAAAUGCCCAUUUGUUUCCUUCACAAUCAAAACCCAAAAAAUUAAAAAAAAAACAGGACAGACUAGUAAAAAACCAUAUUUCAACAAAAACUGUAUUGGAAAACAAAAUAAAAAGAAAAAGAAAAAGAAAAAAGUAAAGAAAAAUAGGACAAAAAUGUAAAAAGGAACUUAAUAGAAACCGUAUUGAAACAAAACAUGAUAAUUAAAUUUUUUAAAAACAUGAUAAUUAUCCUCUAAAAGGUUAGAAGUUAUGGAGAGGAUAGAUAGAUAAAAGAUAAUGGCAACAAAAAGAAAUUAAGACAAAUAGAAAAAGGAGAUAAUCCAAACUAAAAUGGCUAAACCGUUCACAAAGGGAGAGGAUGAACGUAGCGUCAUUUUUUGAUACUGCUAUGAGCAGUUACAUUUGGGUUAUAUCUUUCUCCAUGACACAAAAAUUGACUCAUCUCAUUCUAUCGGAUAUUCAGUUUUUCACUUUGUUUACCCCUUCUCUUUUGUGUUCUUGGCGUUUGAUUUCAUAUUAUUGGGAAAUAAUUAUUUUUGUUAAUCCAUUUUUUUGUCUACUUUUCCCCUCUAUCUUGAGUUUUGAUUUUGAAAUAUAUAUACAAACCUAUUGCAUGGAGCCGACGAAAAGGUUGAGAAAGAUGAGCUUAUUCAUGAGUUUUCAUUGAACAGCCUGCCUAUUAUCUAGCAGCAAGGUCCAAGUCCCCACUUUGCAACCUCAUCAAGUAAUCAGAAUCAGGCAAGUGGUGAAAUUCCUUUUCUACUGUUGAACAUAAAUACUCAUCACUCUGACUCUGCAAUGGUUUUUAGAUUUUUCAGGGUUUAUCUAGCGUUUUAUUUUACCUUUGAUUGUGUUGUUUUUGGACUACACCAAAGACUUUGUGGAACGACUCGCUAUGGAGAUGCAGACCCAGAGACCAUGCGGCACAUUAGAUAAAAAUUUGACAAUGUUUCGAAGAACAAAUACAGAUCUAAAGGCUUUCCAUCUAUAAAUAUUUACUGGAAAGAAAAAAGGUGGGUGCUUACUUUUACUGCAUUGCACACACAAGAAUAUGACUGCAAAAUUAGUCACUACCAAGCCUUCAUCUGGACAAGUAAUAUACCCUUCUCAGAAGAAAUCAUGCACUUGAGUCCUUCACUAGCAAGCAAAUGAUCAACACCACCGCCGACCGGGCCAUGCGUUUCUCCGUUGCCUAUGUAGAAGUGGACGUCGCAGGUGGCCGGAUCUAGCAAAAAGGAGAGGAAAAACAUUUGCUAGGUACUUUUUUUCUUUUUAAUUACCUUUUCUUGUUUUUUUUUUUGGGGCACAUAUAGUUUCUGUCUUUUCGAUCUCUAGCAUGUAUAUAAGCACUUACCAUGAUCCUUUGAUCCAAGAAAAUUGGUUUAGUUCUUAAACAAAAUCUUACAGUACAGUAAUAUACGCAUGAAUCCAAAACUCAAAACAGAAGUCAAAAUACGGAAAAAAGGGUAAAGUAAUACUACUUCACCUGAUCUUUCUCCAAUCUUGCGAAGAAAUUAAAGAUGGGUUUCUUUUCCGUGGAAUCAAAGCGUGAGAGGCUUCAGUCGAGGAGAGAUGAAGCUCGCUGGCCUGAAUUGGCUAGCUAUAUAAAGCUUGUAAUCGCAGCUACCAAUAUACAUGGCAUUCGGCACCAUCUCACCUUCGACAGAAGUCCCUACGCUUUGAUAUUUUGAUCUCGCUUUUAUUACUGUUUUUCAAUCUGCUGGCUCCAAAAUCCUCAUGAUGCAGCUUUAUAUAUAGGCAUGAAAGAGCCAGUAUAGUAUUUCUUCAUUUUCCUUUUUUCUUUAUGUAAAGUGGUACUAGUACUGUAAUUCAUAAGGUACA